rnacentral:lncRNA from 1 species
CUGGGAAGUGCCGGGCCGGCGGAGAGGGGAGCCCGGGCGCACGGGCCAGGCCGCGGGCUGUCCCAGGGAGCCCCGAGGGCGCGGUGCGCGGGCGCAGGUCGGGCGCAGGCGGGGUGACCCGGGGAAGGGGCGCGCACAGAGACAGAGGGAGCCAGCCGGGCCCCACGGUGUCCUCGGACGCCUCCGAAAUCUCCCUGCGUGUUUGUUUCUUCGGAGCUUCACCGGAGCCUGACUCUGGAACCGGCCUGUCUGCCUGCUGCAGUCUGUCAUUCAACAUUUAUUCAACCAAAAAUACUAAGUCAGCUCUAUACAAACUAAUGGAAGGAUACAGCUAUGCAAAUAUAGAACACUAAAGUGUUACAUGACAGAUGUAUGAGUCUUGGAUAUGUCUUUAUCAGCAGUAUGAAAACUGACUAAUACAGUAAAUUGGUACCAGUGGAGUGGGGCGCUGCUGAAAAGAUACCUGAAAAUGUGGAAGCGACUUUGGAACUGGGUAACAGGCAGAGGUUGAAACAGUUUGGAGGGCUCAGAAGAAGACAAGAAAAUGUGGGAAAGUUUGGAACUUCCUAAAGACUUGUUGAAUGGCUUUGACAAAAAUGCUGAUACUGCUAUGGACAAUAAGGUCCAGGCUGAGGUGGUCUCAGAUGGAGAUGAGGAACUUGUAGGGAACUGGAACAAAGAUGACUGUUGUUAUGUUUUAGCAAAGAGACUGGUGGCAUUUUGCCCCUACCAUAGAGAUUUGUGGAACUUUGAUCUUGAGAGAGGUGAUUUAGGGUAUCUGGCUGAAGAAAUUUCUAAGCAGCAAAGCAUUCAAGAGGUGAUUUGGGUGCUGUUAAAAGCAUUUCAUUUUAAAAGGGAAACAGCAUAAAAAUUUGGAAAAUUUGCAGCCAGUUGAUGCAGCAGAAGAGAGAAACCUGUUUUUUGAGGAGAAAUUCAAGCUGGCUGCAGAAAUUUGCAUAAGUUACAGGGAGCUGAAUGUUAAUCUCCAAGACAAUGGGGAAAAUGUCUCCAGGGCAUGUCACAGGUCUUCAUGGCAGCCCCUCCCAUCACAGACCCUGAAGACUAGGAGGAAAAAAUGGUUUUGUGGGCCAGGCCCAGGGUCCCCAUGCUGUGUGCAGCCUAGGGACUUGGUGCCCUGCAUCCCAGCUGCUCCAGCCAUUGCUAAAAGGGCCGAGGUACAGCUCUGCCCGUGGUUUCAGAGGGUGCAAGCCCCAAACCUUGGCAGCUUCCAUGUGGUGUUGAGCCUGCAGGUGCAUGGAAGUCAAGAAUUGAGGUUUGGGAACCUCCAUCUAGAUUUCAGAAGAUGUAUGGAAUCACCUGGAUGCUCAGGCAAAAGUUUGCUCCAGGGGCAGAGCCUUCAUGGAGAACCUCUGCUAGGGCAGUGUGAAGGGAAAUGUGGGGUUGGAGCCCCCACACAGAAUCCCUACUGGGGCACCACCUAGUGGAGCUGUGCAAAGAAGGCCACCGUCCUUCAGACCCCAGAAUGGUAGAUCCACCGACAGCUUGUACCGUGCACCUGGAAAAGCCACAGACCCUAAACGCCAGCCCGUGAAAGCAGCCAGGAGUGGGGACUAUACCCUGUGAAGCCACAGGGGCAGAGCUGCCCAAGACUAAGGGAACCUACCUCUUGCAUCAUUGUGACCUGGAUGUGAGACAUGGAGUCAGAGGAGAUCAUUUUGGAACGUUAUAAUUUGACUGCCUCGCUGGAUUUUGGACUUGCAUGGGGCUUGUAACGCCUUUGUUGUGGGCACUUUCUCCCAUUUGGAAUGGCUGUAUUUACCCAUUACCUGUAUCCCCAUUGUAUGUAGGAAGUAACUAGCUUGCUUUUGAUUUUACAGGAUCAUGGGUAGAAGGGACUUGCCUUGUUUCAGAUGAGACUUUGGACUACGGACUUUUGGGUUAAUGCUGAGAUGAGUUAAGACUUUGGGGGACUGUUUGGAAGGCAUGAUUGGUUUUGAAAUGUGAGAACAUGAGAUUUGGAGGGGCCAGGGGCAGAAUGAUAUGGUUUGGCUGUGCCCCCACCCAAAUCUCAACUUGAAUUGUUAUCUCCCAGAAUUCCCAGGUGUUGUGGGAGGGACCCAGGGGGAGGUAAUUGAAUCAUGGGGGCCGGUCUUUCCCAUGCUAUUUUUGUGAUAGUGAAUAAGUCUCAGGAGAUCUGAUGGGUUUAUCAGGAGUUUCUGCUUUUGUUUCUCUCUCAUUGUCUCUUGCCGCUGCCAUAUAAGAAGUACCUUUUGCCUCCCACUGUGAUUCUGAGGCCUCCCCAGCCAUGUGCAACUGUAAGUCCAAUGAAACCUCUUUUUCUCCUCAGUUUUGGGUAUGUCUUUAUCAGCAGCGUGAAAAUGGACUAAUACGAUCACCCUCUUCUUUGUUCUCCUUUCUAUUUCAUCUCUAAUUUUUUUUGGCAUUUGGAGGGUGCUAUACAUUGCAAAAGUUGGGGACUCACUAAUUCCACUGCUCACUGUAUAUCAAGGUAAUCUGUCAGGGGUUUGGUUUUAUAUAAGAAACAAAUGAGUCCCCAGAACAUACAAGUUAAGAUUAUUCAAUCAAGGGAGGCAGUCAUUACCCUUUAACCUCUGAAAGAAAACUGCAAGUAGGCAUCAAACUAACCCUGAGAUGGGAGAGAGUAGAAGUUCCCACACCCAGUGAAUUGUAGGACAUUAGGUAAUUAUUGGUGGGAAGUAAAUUUGAGUGGGGAACUGAAUUUCAACUGACUUUUAUCCUUGAAGAUGGUGCUUCUAUUUUCUCAAAUUAGAAGGUUAUGAAAAUUGCAUCUGAACAACAAGUUGUAUUAGCAUAAGUUCUAGAAGAAACUGAGAAAGCAAGGCUAGUCUGAGGAAAAUUUAUACCGCUCACAUUUCCCUUCUGAAUUGGAGAAUAGAAUUGAAUAGCAAAAUUGUAACCUACCUUUCAAAGAUGCAUUUUAUAGUGAAGUAUAUUUUGUGAACUUUUAUAUCUUCUAUUCUUAUUUUUCUAUUGCCCUAUUUUAAAAUCUAUCUUGAAUUUAUUAAAUGUAUAUGUCUCUGUUUAUAUAUUUAUGAGUAAUAUGGUAGUCUUUUUGGUAUCAGAUGAGAACCC